UACGGAGGAUCCGGAGCGUUAUCCGGAUUUAUUGGGUUUAAAAGGGUGCGUAGGCGGGAGAUUAAGUCGGUGGUGAAAUUUUGCAGCUCAACUGUAAAAGUGCCAUUGAUACUGGUUUCCUUGAGUGUGGAUGAAGUAGGCGGAAUUUGUGGUGUAGCGGUGAAAUGCAUAGAUAUCACGAGGAACUCCGAUUGCGCAGGCAGCUUACUAAACUACUACUGACGCUCAGGCACGAAGGCGUGGGGAUCAAACAGGAUUAGAUACCCCCGUA
rnacentral:rRNA from 1 species